GUAGGGCAAUCUGUCUUUAAGUAGGGAUAAAUUAAAAGAAAUGAAUCCUAGUUUUCCCUUCAAGUCAAGCGUCUUG
rnacentral:pre_miRNA from 1 species